rnacentral:misc_RNA from 1 species
UUGAUUUAUUAAUCUUUUGCUUGUUACAGCUCUGACUAUAGUAUUAAUCAAGGGUUUUAAAGGUGUCUGCCGGCAGGUGCAUAGGCACCCACCGAGGCAACAACAAAGGUAAUGUAAACAAAGGGUGGAGAUUUUCAGAGGCAUAUAGCCAAACUGAAAUACUCUUGUAAUGAUCCUUCCGCAGGUUCACCUACGGAAA